AAAAGAAGAAGAAAAAAGAGGAGAAAAAGAAAAAAAAGGAGAAGAAGAAAAAGAAGGGAGGAUCGAGCUCGAGUUCUUCGUCUUCGUC
rnacentral:ribozyme from 1 species